AAUGUAUCAAGUCUGAGGUUACAAUUAAGCAAUUGGUCAGUUUUUGGGUUCUUUACGGAUAUAAGCCCUGUUGGGGUGCAGUAAAGAAAGGUAUGACAUCUGCUGAUGUACAUUAAGAAAAGAAGAACAGAUUCUGAGAGAGGAAGAGAAGAAGCGAUAGGAGAAAGGUACGUUCGGUGUGACAGUGCCGCUUAAGUCCGCUGUAGGGUUCUAUAAGGGUUUGUGUUGGAG